ensembl:lncRNA
GGGAGCGCUGCCCAGCAUGCUGGCCUUCUUCUCCACCCCGGCCUUCUUCUGGCGGCCAGUCGGUGUGAUGAAAGCCAAGAUCCGCUGCCCCAACACCAACUGCCCUGCGCCGCCUGGAGAAUUCCUGGAGAAGAAAGGCUUCGGCAGCUACGCCAGGCAAGUGUGUGGCAUGACGCACAAUUACACCCUCCUGACGGAGAAGCUGAAAUGCCAACACUGCAAAAAGCUCAGGAAGGCAGCACACGGUGACGGUGAUGACGAGGAGGAGGAGGAGAAGGAGGAUCAAGGGCGGCAGCAAUACAUCUGGCUAGCCUACAGUCCCAAGAUCCUGAUGAGCCUCGCCCCCGCCGUCAGAAGCAUCUUCCCAGCCAUCCUGUGUGGGAAGCGUGCUGUGGACAGAGGAGUGGUCACCCUGCUGAGCGACCGGCUCAACGCUGUCAGCAUGAGCAAGGUGCAGCGACUCCUGCAGCAGGGCCACGACCAGUGGUACAUGGAGCGGCGUGACCUGUACCAGACCCUGCUGUAUGAGGCCCACACGGCUGGUUCCUCUGCAGCGGCAACAGCAUCUCAGAGGGGCAUCCUGUCGUUUGUGAAGCCUGCCGGCACCUACACCCCUCCCAUCCCCCAGUCUCCCCUUCCGUCGGCCCGCGUGCUGAGGCGUGCCCACCUCAUCAUGGAGAUGGAGAAGAUGCCCGUCUACCGCAACCAGAUUCUGAGUGUGACCGGCGAGAUCCUUUGUAUCGGCGGCACACGAAAAAUUCUGAAGAAGAUCUACGGAGAGGGCAGGGGAACCAUGCAGUAUGUCACCAGCGUGCUGAAUGAGUGGGGUCAGUUUCUGACCACUGUGGUGGUAGCGGCUGAGUCUGAGGGGUGCUACGCCCGUAUGGCGCGGGGUCUGGUGGCCCGGUUCGAGCGCUCCAACGCUCCUGCGCCCAAGGUCAUAUAUGCAGACAACAACUGCUGCCGUGACAGUGGCUCCUCCUUCCUGGAGACACUGUUCAAUGACUGGGCGCAGAGGGGGACCGUAGUUCGCCUGGACAUCCGUCACUGGCUCCACCGCUGGGACUCAGUGGUCCUGAAGCAGAGCCACUCCAAGUACGGGGCGUUCAUGAGUGCCAUGGCGGGGGCGGUGCUGGCCUACAACCGGGGGGACAUGAUGCUGUUGGUGCAGGCCGUGAGGAGUGGCAGUCCACAGCUGUACGCCCAGUAUUCGGACGAGGAGAUGGUGGGCUUCCUCAAGUCCCACCAGGUCAAGUCCUACGUCAGGCGCCUCACCCGAGGGGUUGAGGUAUGUCGAUGUGUGCGUCGUAUGAAUUCCACUCUGAAAAUCAGUGAUGGUAACCAAACUCUCCACUGUGUGUGUUCCAGGAGACGGCCUCUGUCGUCGAGUUCAUCCUCACGGACUUCAAGGGGCCAGCGGGUCUGGACAUCGACGGCAUCCCCCUCUUCAAGUCCACAGAGGCUGUUGAUGCACACUGGGCGACAGCAAGCAAGCACCUUGGAUGCAUGCAGGAUCCCCCUGGCAUUCAGCUGUACGUGGCCGUGAAGACGGUGGUCCUGAACGGCGUGCAGCUGAAUAAGUACAGGUGUCGACGUGGCAGCAACUCGCUGGAGGGGCUGCACGCGCACCUGUACAACGUCAUUCCCUCCAAGAGAUGUGGGAUCAUGCCAUUCCAGGUGAGCCAAAAAGGAAAACGCAACCAAAUUCUUUGUCAGUGUUUUUUUUAAAUUAUUCAUUACAUACAGCAACACAUGACACGUGUUUCAGGUGUACCUAGUUGCUUUCGCUGUGCAGUGGAACAACCGGAUGGAAUCCCUCCGGGUGGCUGGUGGCCAGGGUCGGAAGACCACCUGCAUGGACCCCCGGCAGAUCCAGCGCAUGAACCGGCAGGCCGAGGUGCUCUUUGGCAAGGAACACGUGCCGGAGCCCAACUUCGCCGCUCCUCUGCCCUACCCUGAGCAGUACCGGGACCCGGAUGAGGAGGAGCUCCUUGGUGUGGAGUACGCCCUGUGCCAGUCCACUGCCUUCACUGCAAGGCAGUACUACGCUCAGAAAGGUAAGGCAUUCUUAAACAAG